GUCCGCUGUUGCAAACGUAGCUAAUCGGCCUACAAGAAAAAAAAAAACCGCAAAGGAAUAAAACGUUGCUCAGCUUUUCGUCUCACAAGUUAAUGUACUUCACAGUAGUUGCACUAUUUGAACGCUCCUAGAUACUUUCCCUUGUUAGGUUUUACUUACUUGCUUGCGGUCCUCACCCCUAAAAACAGCAAACAAAUAAUUCUCAAUUGACCACAAUUUCUAAAGAUUUAUCAUUAAUAAUUAAAGAUGCGGACGAACA